UCUUCAGAAAAUGACAAGCCUGUGGGGCGUAAGUAAAUAGAUAAAUAUAUGUUAUAAAAUUAGCUAGAUGAAGUUGCUGGUAUACAUAUCUAGUUACAUAUAAACCAGAUAUCUAUUUAUAAUCGUGCGGACGUAAAAAUCAGGU
rnacentral:ribozyme from 1 species